CAGCAGCCGCGGUAAUACGAAGGGGGCUAGCGUUGUUCGGAUUUACUGGGCGUAAAGCGCACGUAGGCGGACUUUUAAGUCAGGGGUGAAAUCCCGGGGCUCAACCCCGGAACUGCCUUUGAUACUGGAAGUCUUGAGUAUGGUAGAGGUGAGUGGAAUUCCGAGUGUAGAGGUGAAAUUCGUAGAUAUUCGGAGGAACACCAGUGGCGAAGGCGGCUCACUGGACCAUUACUGACGCUGAGGUGCGAAAGCGUGGGGAGCAAGCAGGAUUAGAUACCCCCGUAGUCCCUGUCUCUUAUAA
rnacentral:rRNA from 1 species